UUCUUCCCCAGGUUGAAGCAAUUUUAGUAAAUAUUUUUGGUGGAAUUGUCAACUGUGCCAUUAUUGCCAACGGUAUCACUAAAGCUUGCCGAGAGCUAGAACUGAAAGUGCCUCUAGUGGUCCGACUUGAAGGAACAAAUGUUCACGAAGCCCAGCGCAUUCUGAACGAAAGUGGACUUCCCAUUACUUCUGCAAGUGACCUUGAAGAUGCUGCUAAGAAAGCAGUGGCUUCCGUGACAAAGAAAUAAAGAGAAAUGACACCAGAGAUGACAUUCCAGAGAUGACAUUGAAGACAUGAUUUUAACCAACCACGAGCACCGAGAUUUGGCUUAAGUGUCCUGUUAAUCACAAACUUCAAAAUAUUCAGUGGGUGAAAAGCAAACUUGGAAUUUCAUUUAUUACACAGAAGCCUUUAUUUUUUCAAUAUUGGGACUGAAUGUUCUACAAGCAAAUAUGAGUAACUACUGUCAGUUGCCAUUUAGAGUUUCUCCUUUUAGGUGUUAAUUGCUUGUGAAUCCCAAUUUUUCUAAGAUGCUUUGAUGCAUCUUUAAUGUGAAAAAAGGAUAUUUGAUCGUGGUUGGCCCUUUGUUGGGGAUUGUUCUCAAGCUCUAAGGAACUACUAGGCCGAUAUCAAAGUUUAGAAAGGAGGUGCCUUUUCCAUAUCAUGUGGAGAACUUCCAAAAUUAGGGGUAUGAUGUGGCUUGGGAACCUGAUGUUUGAAAUACAAACAAUCAUAAAGUCUAAUUCAGGCAUGCCAGAAGCCUCCAGUGUGCCUCCAGUAGCUCUCUGAAUUCCAAAUAAUAUUUAAUAACAUUUUCCAAUUAGGGCUAGAGCAUCUUUAUAUUACAUAAUUGGAAAUAAAUGAAUGUUAUUAGAUUUCUACCACCAUCAUGUCAAACUUAUUAUAAAAUGCAAUGAUUGAUAUCCAAUGCGUACCUCACAUUAGAAGAACAUUCAAAAUCAUAGUUCUGUUUUUUAUUGUCCUAUAAAUUCACAUGUGAAUGCUUUAAGUGCUGAAGGAGAAUUACACACCCUAAUGUCACAUUUGGCAGUAUCCAUGAACAUAUGCAUCCAAUUAAUAUUCACUGUCUUUAGAAAUCAAUAUGUAUAGUAGCUUAAAAUAGCCUUAUCAUGAAGAAAUCUAGUGGGGUGAUUCCUUAAGGUGGGGGGUCUCCAACCUUGGCAGCGUUAAGCCAGGAAGACUUCAACUCCCAGAAUUCCCCAGCCAGCAAAGCUGGUUGGGACAUUCUGGGAGUUGAAGUCCUCCAGGCUUAAAGUUGCCAAGGUUGGAGACCCCUGCCUUAAGGCAUUUGUACUGGUAUUCUAAUGUUAUUAAUCAGAAUUGAUAAUAGUCAAAACUAGAAGGGAACCUGCUAUCAUCAGAAAGAAUAUGAAAAAUAAAUUGAGGAGUGAUCCCACCUAAGCGCUUUUAUAUUCUGUGAAUUUAAGUGCAAAUGUUCACCAACUGCAACAUCUUCAUACUGAAGUUAAGUGGAUUUCCAAGUGCUUUAACUUUUGCUUGAUUGUGCCUUUGAUGUUUGGGAAAUAUGUAUUCACAAAGUGCAAAGGCUAUCAAAUUAAUUCACUAAUCACAUUAAAGUGUUUAAUUAACAAUGGAGUUUUGAAAUUCAAGAUACUUGUUGAAAUCAGAAGUAGGAUUAUAAACAAUGUUAUUCAACUCACAAGCCAAGAAUUUAUGUGAUUUUUAAUAAUAAAGAAUAUGAAUAUUUUUUGGUUUAUUACAAUUAAACAGUAUUAAUAAAUUUCCCCUGGAAUUACA